AACUUUGCGCAGAGGCAAUAUCGUAACCAAUGAGGUUAAUCCGAAGUGCGAUUAUUGCUAGUUGAAAACUUCGAUAUCACCCUAACUUAACCUGUGGAUUAAGUUAGCAUGAUAUCGAAAAUAGAGAUUACACAAUUAGUUUUUUUUUUCCACAUUUUUAGGU